GGUUGUGGGAUUGGGUGAUGAGAAAGUUUCUGUGUUGUGUGCAUAUGUAAACCUGAGAAAUACACAUCUAUUUUUCAAUGACAAAUGUUGUUCUCUUGUUCAGAUUCAGAAAGGGAAGAAGAUCAUUCUCAAGCAGAGCACCUAGAAGAGGAGAUGGCUGCAAUGAGGAAUGAAUUAGCUGCAAUGAGGAAUGAAUUAGCCCAAGUCAAGGAGGACAUGG